rnacentral:RNase_P_RNA from 1 species
CAAGUAAGUCAGAUAAUCGCUGCUGAUUUUAAUCAGGAGAGGAAAGUCCGAGCAUCGUAGAGCAGAGUGCUGGGUAACUCCCAGUGAGGGUGACCUUAAGGAUAGUGCAACAGAGAGAUACCGCCUCUUUUAAAGAGGUAAGGGUGGAAAGGUGAGGUAAGAGCUCACCAGCGCAAUGGUGACUUUGCGGCUAUGUAAACCCCAUUUGAUGCAAGGCCGAUUAGAGAGAUAUUAUGGAGCUGCUCGCUUCGUCUCUGGGUGUGCCGCUUGAGCCAUGGAGAAAUCCAUGGCCUAGACAGAUGAUUAUCUAAUACAGAACUCGGCUUAUAGAUUUGCUUGUACC